AUUGGCCAGCACCUUGAGAACUAUCGAACUAUUUACACAAGGAUUCGGUUAGUCUACGCUGCCCAAGCACCACCUAUAGCGAACUGGUGGGCGGAAUUUACAACAGUACCCAUUUAGUCUAUCUACUCUAUCAAUAGUCUAGUGACUGAAUUUACAACCGGGCACACUUAGCCAAGAUAGGUUGAGAACUAGCAGACGGAAUGUACACCAGAAUCUGCUUAGUCUCGCCGGCCUCCCCAACCUAGCAACCGAAAUUUACACCUAGCACACGCUAGUCAAGACAACACACCGGUGUCCGGCAUAAACUA